GCUCAAUAGAGAAUGAGUUCACUGAACGCGAUCAACGAAGAGUUCUCAUAUUCCAUGUCACAUAAGAACUCAUAGUUGGGAUAAUGCAAAGUAGUCCUUUGACCUGAGGCAUCAUAGUUGUCUUGUGGUUAAGACCUUGAUCUUUGAUUAUGUCAAAGUCAUCCCACCAGGAGGGUGUCCACGGCAUCGUUGGGGUCAAGCCGCUUAGCUAUGGAGACAAAUGAAUGCGCAACAAGGGAUCUCUAACCUUCAAACCGUUUGAAGGAGAAUACUCUCUGAUAUGAUUUGAAUCU
rnacentral:lncRNA from 1 species